rnacentral:rRNA from 1 species
GACGAACGCUGGCGGCGUGCUUAACACAUGCAAGUCGAACGGAAAGGCCCUGCUUGCAGGGUACUCGAGUGGCGAACGGGCGAGUAACACGUGGGUGAUCUGCCCUGCACUUCGGGAUAAGCCUGGGAAACUGGGUCUAAUACCGGAUAGGAGCCAUUUUUAGUGUGAUGGUUGGAAAGUUUUUUCGGUGUAGGAUGAGCUCGCGGCCUAUCAGCUUGUUGGUGGGGUAAUGGCCUACCAAGGCGGCGACGGGUAGCCGGCCUGAGAGGGUGGACGGCCACAUGGGGACUGAGAUAGGGCCCAGACUCCUACGGGAGGCAGCGGGGGGGAAUAUUGCACAAUGGGCGCAAGCCUGAUGCAGCGGCGCCGCGUGGGGGAUGACGGCCUUCGGUUUGUAAACUCCUUUCGCUAGGGACGAAGCUUUUUGGGAGGGACCCUAGAAAAGAAGCCCCGGCUAACUACGG